GAGGUGGAGUCUCUUAUGAUUGAUUAGCCACCUGUCCCUUCCACUCUGCAUGCACAUCUUACUGCAGGGCACUUUUCAAUGUCAAACUACCUCAUUCCCCUCCCAAAUGCCAGAUUUUCUUCUUUGUAGGCUUGUUGUGGAUGGGCCUGGUGCUGUUCUUGUGAACCAAUCUCCUAAUGAAUAAAGGAGCCAAUCAUGAGGGGAGUAGGUGGGACUUCCGGGUUGGACGGCAGAAGAGAGGAAGCAGGAGACUGGUUCUUUUUGGACCAGAGCCGGAGUCAGACGCCCGCUUGCUUUCGUCAUCCCAGCCUCCCUACACUCUUUCUGAUCUUUGGCCUUGCUCAAAACCACCUUCCUGCUGUCCCAGCUGCCAUCUAAGGAGCAGCAGCCAUGACUCUGCGCUACCCCAUGGCCGUGGGCCUGAACAAGGGCCACAAAGUGACGAAGAACGUCAGCAAGCCGAGACAUAGCCGGCGCCGUGGACUCCUCACCAAGCACACCAAGUUCAUGCGGGACAUGAUCCGGGAAGUGUGCGGCUUCGCACCCUACGAGCGCCGCGCCAUGGAGUUGCUCAAAGUGUCCAAGGACAAGCGCGCACUCAAGUUCAUCAAGAAGAGGGUGGGCACACACAUCCGUGCCAAGAGAAAGCGGGAGGAGCUGAGCCACGUGCUGGCAGCCAUGAGGAAGGCGGCGGCCAAGAAGGAUUGAUGAACCCUCCCCCAAUAAAAGAUCGUUCCUACCAAAAAACAAAAAAACCCCCA